UACGUAGGCAGCAAGCGUUGUUCGGAAUUACUGGGCGUAAAGAGUGUGUAGGCGGUGUUCCAAGUCUGGUGUGAAAUCUCCCGGCUUAACUGGGAGGGUGCAUUAGAAACUGGAAUGCUAGAGGAUGGGAGAGGUAAGCGGAAUUCCUGGUGUAGCGGUGAAAUGCGCAGAUAUCAGGAGGAACACCGGUGGCGAAGGCGGUUCUCUGGGCAUGACCUGACGCUGAGGAGCGAAAGUGUGGGGAGCGAACAGG
rnacentral:rRNA from 1 species